rnacentral:lncRNA from 1 species
AAAACUAUAAAGUCGUUACAAACGAAAGUUCUCACUCGACUAUCGGGCUAGCGGUGUUUAUUUGCUUGAUUGAUAUCCGAUACGGUCAAGAUCCUCGAAUGUUCUACGCCAUCUCAUCUACUAUGACGUAAAAUAAAUAAACUUGUAACUGAAGGAAGUGUAUAGACGUCUUCUCACGAAUUCAAAUCAGUGUAGUCUUGCGACACGAACAGAGUGCAUCGAACGUGAAAGUCACAAAGAGCAUACUUGGCAGUCUUUUAUUAUUAUUUUGUAAUAUUUUAUAUCGUAUUACGUGUUAUAAGUGCCAUUUUCAAAAUAGUGAACAAGACUAACAAUACUUCGCAAAUAUUUGUCCCCAAAAUAGCAAGACGUUUGAGG